rnacentral:piRNA from 1 species
UAUGCAUGGAUGCGGAUUCUAGGAUUAC